rnacentral:lncRNA from 1 species
CACACAUCUUGCUUGGCAGUGAUUUAUUUCUGAGAAAGCGUGUGAUGUGACCUAUACUUGCUGCAAGGAUUAAAACUUCUGGCAUUACAUACAGGGUUAUACAGGGUUAUUUAAUAAAGUGAGAAUUGUGAAGUAAAUUUCAAAUUCAAGGUGAAAACAGCUGAAUUGGUAAAAAUCUUGGGUUAUUCACAAAGGUCCCAUUACACCAGAUUUUCUCAGAAUUUGCCGUUUUUGGACAUUUACUAAUGCUGAAUGCAAUAUGCACUGUCUUUUGUACAAUACUGUAACAGGUUUCAAAUCUAUAAUUCUCAUUUGUAUAGGAUUUGCACAUUUAUCGUACACUGAAUAUUUACUAGAUAUUGCCUGAAAUCGGACAAAUCUUCCAAACAGAUUCACCUGCAGGCACAUUUAUUAUUUUUGACAGGUUAAGUGUACAUAUAGGACAGCUCAUUUUUGUUUUAUAAGAAAGUAAAGACAUUAAGAGCAUGGUGCACAUUUGAGCGGUCACCAUAUUAAUAAAACUCUUACAUAUUAUAUGCACCACAGUCAAUAGAAUAUUCAAUUACUGUAGAAACUAAUAAGAUUUGGUAAAACAGUGUGCUCAGUUUUUCAAUCCUGCAGUCAGUUUAACAACUAGCAGGUAUAGCUGGCGUGAUUUAUGAUGCAGGGAUCAUGGUGGUAUCGCAGGUUUACCCUAAGGUAAUGAUAUGAGCACAUGUGGUCGUUUGAGUUUCAGUUAACGCUUGAGGACACUGGACCCCGGAGCGUGCUAGCGCUAAUGCAGGGGUACUCCGCACUAGGAAUAGUGUUUGUCUAAGUAAGAAAUAUAAGGGAACAUAAUAAACAUAAUGAAAAAACUGAUAGCAGAAAACUGGAAAUAUAAAGGGAUCUGAGUAUGCAGCUGCUGCCGCUGCCUGAGCAAGCCUCGGGAUAUAGGUGCAGUCCCAGGAUCAUCCGAUGCCUGCCUGCGGCAGGGUUGAUGAGUGUGCAGGAGCUUGUAUGAGGGCUGGCAUCCCUUGUUUGCAGGCUUGGACCCUCUCAGGUACCAAGGUUAUCUUCCCUCUGGGGCAAGCAGGGGGUCUGGACGGUCGCAUUCGCCAUCUUGAUUACCCAUUGUGGGCUAUGUGUUGCUUAAUUUCCACAUGGAGUACAGAGUAGAUAAGGCAGUUAGCUCUGGUGUCCAGUGGGGACCGUGAUAUCCCCCGCCGAUGCAGUGGGGGCUGGGCGAUAGGAGUAUAGCUGAGCUAAACCAGGGUCUGAGGAGUGAGAUCAGCCACCUCUCCCCAGCUCCGUCCCCAGUAGGCCGCAGCAGAGAGACACGGAUUCCAGGUGGGGUAGAAACACCGCUCGAGUGUCAGGAUAGUCAGCAGGAAUCCCUAGACUCGGAUAGUGCCCUUCCUUGGACGUAGCUGUUCUUUAACCAAGGGAUAUCACCUCAGAUGUAGUAAAACUUUCAGGAUCUCAGGCACACCACGUCUGCUCUGCAUGGAAGCCUGGCUCCGCCCCCCACCUGCGGGUAAAUGUAUUCAAAUCCAGACAAUUUGCCCCCCGACAAUCUGAUCAGCCAGCUGGCAAAUGUUUAGAAACCCCAGGGCAAGAUGUGAUGGUCGCGAGUUGAUGGUUUGCAGUGACAAAAAUGGGAACAGAUGUGGGAUAGUAAAAAAUGCACUUACACUCUAUGGAACUACUAAUUAGCUCUAACUUUUGCGAUUGUACAUAUUCUAUACAUUCCAUAAAGCGUUUUGUGCGUGCACAGGGCUGGUACAAGUAUUUUUGGCUACACAGGAAAAGUUGCAUUUUGCGCCUCCUACCAACCCCCCCCCCCCAAAAAAAAUGCAUCUUUACCUCUUUGCACAUUGAGGUGGAAUCAUAUCUACAGAUUAAACAGACACUAUAGACACCCAGACCAAUUCAUCUCAUUGUGCUCUGUGUGUGGUCAAGUGGUCUGGGAGCAGUGUACCUGUACCCUUAAACCAGUUGCUGAAAACAAUGCGAUUUUAGAGAAGCUGCAAUGUUUAUAUAUCUCUCCCACACAGCCACUAGAGGUGGUUCCUGCAUACACACAGAGAUUAACUACGUAAAAUGACGCUGGACAUCCUCAAGCUUUUCAUGAAGAUGUCCUUCGUCUUGAAAAACUCCAUAGGAAAGCAUUUUUUCAAUGCUUUACUAUGGGGAAAGCCUAUUGCGUGCAACGUUUUUAUUGGUAACAUUAGUGUUCUUUUAAGGUCUAUUGCCAUCUACUUGUAACACACAAUGUAUACAUUUCAUGGCUUCAGUUAUGAUUUAAUAUAGGAUUCUGAUUAUGCUAUAAAGUUUGAGUGACAGGUACUGUGUGUUUUUGACGUAUUUGAGCCACAAGGAGUAAUUUAUUGUAAGCGCAUGUGAUUUCUAGGUUUGCUUCCGGACUUCCCUUUUAUGCAUCAUUUUUAAUUUUUUUUGCAAUGUCAUUCACAAACUUUCACUUCACAAUUGGGAACAUUAAAAACAAAAACAAAAAGUAAACAUAAUUAUUCUUUUCUGCACCCUUUAUAAAGAGGCAAAAUUCUAUUUUCACCCCAAGAAUGAUGCUUUUAUUUAUACAUGACAAAACCUUACUGGCCGUAGCCACUGUUGAUUGACAUUGCAUAUUGCUGCCUAAUUUCUUGUCUAUAAAAAUUCCCAAAUCCUUCUUGUGUGUUGUUAUCCAUAAUGCACUACCAUUUAGGGUGUAAGUUGCUUGAGCACUUUUUUUGUGCAUUUCUCUACGUAAAAUUUCAGCUGCCAUUUGAGUGCCCAGCCCCUCAAUCUAUCUAAAUCCCUCUGCAACAAAGUAACAACCUGCUCACAUUGUAUUACUUUACAGCGUUUUGUGUCAUCUGCAUCUUACCACCUCUGUCCAGCUUGAAAAGGGUUUAAGGGGCUUUCUGAUAGGCUUCUAUAAAGACAGUUUUGCAGAGAUGGUGAGAGUCAAAUGUGACGGGGGAGGACACUCCACACAUUUACAUCUCACAAUGCGGGAGGACACUCCACACACUCACAUCUCACAAUGCGGGAGGACACUCCACACACUUACAUCUCACACUGCGAGAGGACAAUCCACACUUACAUCUCACAAUGCGGGAGGACACUCCACACACUUACAUCUCACAAUGUGGGAGGUCACUCCACACACUCACAUCUCACAAUGCGGGAGGACACUCCACACACUUACAUGUCACAAUGUGGGAGGUCACUCCACACACUUACAUCUCACACUGCGAGAGGACAAUCCACACUUACAUCUCACACUGCGAGAGGACAAUCCACACUUACAUCUCACAAUGUGGGAGGUCACUCCACACACUUACAUCUCACACUGUGAGAGGACAAUCCACACACUUACAUCUCACAAUGCGGGAGGUCACUCCGCACACUUACAUCUCACAAUGCGGGAGGUCACUCCACACACUCACAUCUCACAAUGCGGGAGGUCACUCCGCACACUUACAUCUCACAAUGUGGGAGGACACUCCACACACUCACAUCUCACAAUGCGGGAGGACACUCCACACACUUACAUGUCACAAUGUGGGAGGUCACUCCACACACUUACAUCUCACACUGCGAGAGGACAAUCCACACUUACAUCUCACACUGCGAGAGGACAAUCCACACUUACAUCUCACAAUGUGGGAGGUCACUCCACACACUUACAUCUCACACUGUGAGAGGACAAUCCACACACUUACAUCUCACAAUGCGGGAGGUCACUCCGCACACUUACAUCUCACAAUGCGGGAGGUCACUCCACACACUCACAUCUCACAAUGCGGGAGGUCACUCCGCACACUUACAUCUCACAAUGCGGGAGGUCACUCAGCACACUUACAUCUCACACUGCGAGAGGACAAUCCACACUUACAUCUCACAAUGUGGGAGGUCACUCCACACACUUACAUCUCACACUGUGAGAGGACAAUCCACACACUUACAUCUCACAAUGCGGGAGGUCACUCCGCACACUUACAUCUCACAAUGCGGGAGGUCACUCAGCACACUUACAUCUCACACUGCGAGAGGACAAUCCACACUUACAUCUCACAAUGUGGGAGGUCACUCCACACACUUACAUCUCACACUGUGAGAGGACAAUCCACACACUUACAUCUCACAAUGCGGGAGGUCACUCCGCACACUUACAUCUCACAAUGCGGGAGGUCACUCAGCACACUUACAUAUCACAAUGCGGGAGGUCAUUGCACUCGACGACACAACACCGCUGUAAGCGUUUGUGGACUUAAGAUGGCCGCCGCCUCGUGUUCGGCCAUACCAAUGACGGCCACCCAGCUGACCACUUAGAAUGUUACUAGUUUGUGGUUUCUGCAAGUGUGGAAAACUGUCAUGUAGGUUAAUAGGCGACACACACGACAGUUCUGGGUGGUCUGACCGUUCGGUUAUUUGUUCGGUAUACGAACUGGGUAGGUUUUAAGUGUUCAGUUAGUUUGUAUACCAAGUAAUUCAAGGCAGUACAAUUAAAAUAAACAGAGCAUUUUUAACAGGGUGCAUCCGUCACAGUGGUAUUUUGCAAGGUUAUAACGGCACAAUUCCAACUGCCACUUUUCACUUUCAUAAGGGUUAAAGAUUAGUAAGAUAUAACAUUUAGGCAACUAUCAGCUUUUCUAGUUCAGGUACCCCUUGUCAGGAUUACUAUAUGAUCCAGCAUGUGGAAUUGUGUGACACAGGCGACUAAUAGGUAAAGUAUGAAUGGCCGGACUAACGCACCAAAGGAUAGUCAGAGUAAUAGCCAAGGUCAGGGGACACAGAAAGGGACACAACAAUAAAGGAAAGCCAGAGGUCAGGGAUACCAGAAAACAGGGGAGUCAAAAUAAAAGCCAAAGUAAAAAAAUGGAAUAACUAGAAUAAGGAACACGCUCUCGGACAACUACUAGGGAAACCACAACAGGGCAAUGAGGAAAGGUAAUUCUGGGCUUUUAUACCUGCUUUACCUUUCUGAUUGGCCGUGAUCACUCUUUGACCCCAAAACGUGCGCACCCGGGGUGUGCUCGACGUGACGUGCAUGCCGACGUCGUCAGUUACUUGAGCGAGCAUGGGGGUAUAAUUAGCCUUGGAACCACAGCGGCUGGCAUCCAUUAACAUGCCGCAAGUGUCAUUCAUGCAGAUGCACGGCCGCUGAACGCAUGGUGAGGAUGAAUAUGUUACACCCCUCCACCGUCAGCUGCCACAGUCUUCCCAAUGGCAUGAGCAUUGAAUUGUGUAGAGCUCAGCCGGGUUGAGCAGUUUGGGAAAACAAAGAGUUAAUCCUGUGUGAGAAAUAGACUGUUCACUGUACUGUAAUCAUGGGGUAGUGUAAGUCCCAAGUAGGAGGGAACGAAAGUUUGGCAUUACAGGAGGCUGCGUGUCCUAGGCCUCAUGUCCCAGAGAGUCCCCUUUAACCUAUGCCUUCAAGAGUUUCUGUCCAGCUUUGUAUCCCGCAGAGGGACUCACCCUUCCCAACUGUGAAGCCCGAGUGCCUCAUAGACAUGCUCUUCUGCUUGCUUAGGUGUUGGCAAAUUUCAAACCUUCCAGGGAUGCUUGCCGGUGCUGUGUGGGUCCUUCUCGGAUAGGGGUGCAGACUCCUCCCGGCUCUUGUAGCAAGCUGCUCUUUGGUUGACGGCGGGAGAGAGCGUUGUCUUUAGCGUCAUUUUUUGUCAUGCUUGGCUUGGAUGGGCGAGCCAUCCGGACUGGAGUGGUAGGGUGGUGCCAUGGGUGAGUGUGUGUGAUACUCAGUCGGUCAUCUAGUUUUUUCCAGAACGCUUCAAAUGCAGCAUCUAGCUGCGCCAGGAUGUUGGUCUCCUGUGUAGUAUCAGAUGGCCACGGGUGUAUUCUCCGUUCUCCAGUUCACAAGUCAUACCAUUGGAGUGGCCUUCCCGGUGAAAUCUAAUAUUGGAUGUCACAUGGACUUUGUAAUUUAUUUAUUGCAGUGUCCGUGUGGCAAACAAUAUGUGGGAAGGACAAAAAGACUUUUAAAAGUACGUUUAAUGGAACAUGUUAAUAAUAUAAGGAAGGGCAUCACAACCCAUUCAGUGCCAGUGCACUGUAAUACAUGUCCGGCCUUCAACUGGAGAGAUUUUAUAGGCUGUGGUAUAGAACAUCUAUCCUCCCAUUGGAGAGGAAGUAAUAGGGAAUUAAAAUUAGCACAACGUGAAACUUAUUGAAUUUAUAAAUUGGAUACUUUAGAACCGAAGGGAUUAAACAUAGACGUUGAUUUGGCUAGUUUUAUGGUAGAAAAAUAAGAGAAAGAAAAGGAGAGAAGGAAAAAGAGAAAAAAAGGGAAAAACUAUUUACAUAUAGAUGUAUUGUUCCUGAGGGGGACUUCCAUUUUUUUGUCAAGAUGAUCUAUGUAAUUUUUAUUUUUUAUUUUUAUUUUUAACGAUAUAUAUAAAUAUUUUUUUUUCAGAUAUAAAUUUUGUACCUUUCAUUUUUCUUUUUCUCAUUCAGAUAUAAAUUUUGCAUUUCUUUCCUUCUUGUACAUACUUGGAUCACACUUGGCAAGGGAUUGAAUUCCCCCUAUAUUGUUAAUUGUCGUUUUUUACUGUUAUAUAUGCCAGAAUGCUAUAUAUGGUAUAGAGUUUCUGAUUAUGUUAUUAUUAUAAGAUUUUUUAUUUAGUCCACCAAGUUGUAAGAUAUUCUGCCAUUUGGAACGCAUAUGUUUGAAGUCAUGGAACACUAUUUUCAGCGCCCAAGACUUCUGUUUACAUCCACAACCAGAAAUACGUAUUUGGAACGCAACCGGAAGUACGUGUUUGGAACGCAUAGCAAUGGAACGCAAACGGACCGGCGAUCACAGAAUUUUGCCGCGAUUUUUCAAAUCUUACUACCAGCUGCAAGGAAUAUUCCUUGAUUAAAGAGAGAGAAGGUUUCCCAGGCGUUCCUAUACGAUCUUUCUCCAAUGGUUCUAUUUAAAGGGACUUUGUUGGGGGUGGGAAUUAUGCAUGCUUUGAUUUUUUAUUGUAUUACUGCCUAUAUUGUGUUAUUAUCUCUGACGAAGUCCACUAUAUGUGGAAGAAACGAGUUAGAUUGCAGAUAAAUUUUACUUAUUUCUAUUCUAUUUUUUACUAAGGCUUUGUAUUGCCUUAAUAAAUAUAUUUUUAUUUAAAUUGGCGUAUUCCCACUUCAUUUGAAGACAGAAGUCCCUGUCUGUGGAAGGUGAACACCUCUCCAGCCCCAUUGUGGGCUUAAAGGCGCACUACUCUACACUAUUUCGUGAGUGCAACCAUUGGGGGUUAUAUCCAAUUGCAAUUAUUGUACUUCACUAUGUGCUAUGUAUUUUUUUGUUUUUUUGUUAUUCAGCUGUAUUCCAUUUUUGUUUAUUCGCGUAUUCUCCGCCAUAUUGGAGUCAGCUUGCCUCUGUUGGGGUUGCUGUCACAGCCUCUGGAUGGGCCCACCUGGGGGGGACGGAACGAGAGCCCACAAUCAGGCUUGUAGCCAUUGAAGUCGACAGUGGCACUCUCCUCUGCGCCGAUCAUGCUUGAGGAGUGUUUCAGUGACUCCUGCUUACUGUGCCACGUUUGGUAUCUGCAGGUAGCCCUCGGUUUCACCUUUCCGUAAGGUGCUUGUGUGAGGAGAUGGAGAUACUUUGUAACCCAGGAGAUUUGCAUGUAGGAGCAUCCUCUCGGCUCAGCGGUCAGGCCCCGCCCUCCGGCAGUUUUUGUUUUUUUUAAUACAGUUUUUUACUCAUUUGUUGCACUUAUUUAUUUGGGACUAAGAGUGGCUGUGUAUUUUCAUUUGUCACAGCCACCCUUAGUACCAUCUGAUGGAUACCCUUUGUACCCAAGGUGCCCAUCUACCCACACAGACACUGUCAGUAUGCAGAAUUAAUUUACUAGAUAUCAAUUAAAAGAGGCGUAGAAUACACUGGUGGAGCUAUUGUUGAGAGGGCCCUCAUGUAGUACAUACUUUGGACCCCCUCUAGUUCAAGUGUGGCCAAAAGGUAGAUGGGUAUUUACCAUUUGCCCAUCCUUGCAGGGUUGUAUUUGUGAGCAGUGUUUGAGCGUUUGAAUGUAAGCAUGUUUUUGUAUAGAGUAUAUGUGUAGCUGUAGGGGUGCAUUUGUAUGUACUGUUAUUAUUGCAAUACAGUGGUAUACUUGUGUGUAGUGUUUACACCCUGUUCCAAAUGAUUAUGCAAAUUCUAUUUAAGUGUCACAAAGAUUAAAUAUUUUGUUUUUCAGUUUAACUCAUGGAUGGCAUUGUGUCUCAGGGCUCUUUUGAUCACUGAAAACAAUCUCGGACAACUGUGAUAAUUAGAUUGCCAG